AGAGUUUGAUCCUGGCUCAGGAUGAACGCUAGCGGCAGGCCUAAUACAUGCAAGUCGAACGGGAUAGGCUCCUUCGGGGGCCUUGAGAGUGGCGCACGGGUGCGCAACGCGUAUGCAACCAACCCCCGACGGGCGGAUAGCCGGUGGAAACGCCGGAUAAUACGCCAUGGUUCCGGUGGAGGGCAUCCUCUACUGGAUAAAGCUACGGCGGUCGGGGACGGGCAUGCGUCCCAUUAGAUGGUAGGCGGGGUGACGGCCCACCUAGUCCGCGAUGGGUAGGGGAUCUGAGAGGACGGUCCCCCACACUGGUACUGAGACACGGACCAGACUCCUGCGGGAGGCAGCAGUAAGGGAUAUUGGUCAAUGGGCGGAAGCCUGAACCAGCCAUGCCGCGUGAGGGAAUGAGGCCCUACGGGUCGUGAACCUCUUUUAUUCGGGGACAAGGACGCGGUCGGGAACCGUGUUUGAGGGUACCGAAGGAAUAAGCGUCGGCUAACUCCGUGCC
rnacentral:rRNA from 1 species